CCUCUCAUGUUUGUCAAAUGUGCAAACUGUUGGCCAGAGUUAAUGUACAACAGGUGCCAUACUUCAGAAUCUUUCUUUCUCUGUCCCUAAAGGCGUGUCAAAAAGAAGUCUUCAGUCCUUCACAUAUUGUCAUUAGGAGGAGUAACAUGCUGAGGAUGAUGCGGGUAAGACACGACCGAACCAUAAUUAUUCCCGCUCCAAUCCCUCUGUUGUAACAUAUUAUAGGAAAUAUUACCAUCAAGCCCAUGAUGAUGAUGAUGAUUGCCCAUUUGCAUCCCCAUGUGCCCAUACACCGGCAUUGGCACCAUCGGCCCCGCCGCUGGAUGAUACGGGCCAGGAAUGGGCAUUCCCAAAUGCCCAUUCCCGUGGGCUGAUCCACUCC
rnacentral:misc_RNA from 1 species